GUGCUCCCUUCAGCAGCACAUAUACUAAAAUUGGAACAAUAUAGAGAUUAACAAGCCUCCUGUACAAAGAUAAAAUUUGAGUUCAUGAAGAGUUUUUAUGUAAA
rnacentral:snRNA from 1 species